rnacentral:rRNA from 1 species
UUCGCAAUGCCCGAAAGGGUGACGAAGCGACGCCGCGUGCGGGAGGAAGGCCUUCGGGUUGUAAACCGCUGUCGGGAGUUAAGAAAUGCAAGAAUGUUAAUAGCGUUCUUGCUUGACUAAGGCUCCGGAGGAAGCCACGGCUAACUCUGUGCCAGCAGCCGCGGUAAUACAGAGGCGGCAAGCGUUGUUCGGAAUUAUUGGGCGUAAAGAGCACGUAGGCGGCUGUGUAAGUCGGUUGUGAAAGCCUUCCGCUCAACGGAAGAACGGCAUCCGAUACUGCAUAGCUUGAGUGUGGGAGGGGAGAGUGGAACUUCUGGUGGAGCGGUGAAAUGCGUAGAUAUCAGAAGGAACACCGGCGGCGAAGGCGACUCUCUGGUCCAUAACUGACGCUGAGUGUGCGAAAGCUAGGGGAGCAAACGGGAUUAGAUACCCCGGUAGUCCUAGCCGUAAACGAUGGGCACUAAGUAGAGGGGUUUUA